rnacentral:rRNA from 1 species
GUCUUUUAAUUGGAGUCUGGAAUGAAUGGUUGGAUGAGGGAUAUACUUUCUUUAUUUUAAGUGAUGAAUUUGAUUUUUAUGUCAAAAAGCGUGGAUAUAUUUAUAGGACGAGAAGACCCUAUAGAGCUUUAUUAUAUAAAGUAUAGUCUUGUUUUGGUAUUGUUAUGGUUUAAGUGUAUUUUUUAUAUAAUUUGAUUGGGGUGAUAGGAAAAAUAUUAUAACUUUUUUGUUUUUUUACAUUGAUUUAUGUGGUUUUGAUCCUUUAAUAUGGAAUAUAGAUUAAGCUACCUUAGGGAUAACAGCGUUAUUUUAUCAUAGAGUUCAUAUCGAUGAUGAAGUUUGCGACCUCGAUGUUGGAUUAAAAUAAGUGGCAGGGGUAGAUUUUUGCUUACUAGGUCUGUUCGACCUAUAAAUUUUUACA